rnacentral:lncRNA from 1 species
UACAUGAUUCCAUAGCGUAAAGUUAGGUCCCGUAAAAUGUUCCGCAAUUGUCCCGCUUCACGUCCAGGACAGAGUUAACAUAAUUAAUUUUUGCAUUUAUAAUUUAAUUUAUGAAAUAAUUAAUAUUCUUUAAAUGUGGAGCACGUUUUCACCUGGUUAUCGUCGAAGAUUAAAUUUAAAUUGUUGUUAUUUCUCAAGAAGGAAGUUGGGUUACUGUAGAAACAUACGUUGAAGUACUUUUUUUGAUACAUAGCUACGAAACAGAGGCUGUAUCAAAGUUUUCAUGCUAUAGUGCUGCUAAAAACUAUGGAAAUAUGGGAUGUAAAUUGCUUGGUUGUAUGCACGGGAAUGAUAGAAAAGCCUCUUCUAAAGAAGUUUAUAAAAUUCAGUUUUUCUUUAUCAAUUUGUUUCCAAAAUAGCUCCUGUAUUUAAUGAUUAUAUGUCUAAACCUUUUAUUUUUGUUCUUUUGUCUAAUUUUCUUAAUAGGUAUCAGAUCACAGUUUUUCAAAAAGCUAUUUGCUAUAUUUUAAUUUCUUGGUCACCAAGAAAU